AACGAACGCUGGCGGCAUGCCUAACACAUGCAAGUCGAACGAGACCUUCGGGUCUAGUGGCGCACGGGUGCGUAACGCGUGGGAACCUGCCCUUAGGUUCGGAAUAACUCCCCGAAAGGGGUGCUAAUACCGGAUAAUGUCUUCGGACCAAAGAUUUAUCGCCUUUGGAUGGGCCCGCGUUGGAUUAGCUAGUUGGUAGGGUAAAAGCCUACCAAGGCGACGAUCCAUAGCUGGUCUGAGAGGAUGAUCAGCCACACUGGGACUGAGACACGGCCCAGACUCCUACGGGAGGGAGCAGUGGGGAAUAUUGGACAAUGGGCGAAAGCCUGAUCCAGCAAUGCCGCGUGAGUGAUGAAGGCCUUAGAGUUGUAAAGCUCUAUUACCCGGGAUGAUAAUGACAGUACCGGGAGAAUAAGCUCCGGCUAACUCCGUG
rnacentral:rRNA from 1 species